AUUGAACGCUGGCGGCAGGCUUAACACAUGCAAGUCGAACGAGUGGCGGACGGGUGGGUAAUGUAUGGGAAACUGCCUGAUGGAGGGGGCUAACUACUGGAAACGGUAGCUAAUACCGCAUACCAUCAGAUGUGCCCAGGUGGGAUUAUCUUGUUGGUGGGGUAACGGCUCACCAAGGCGAGGAUCCCUAGCUGGUCUGAGAGGAUGACCAGCCACACGGGAACUGAGACAUGGUCCAGACUCCUACGGGGGGAAGCAGUGGGGAAUAUUGCACAAUGGGCGAAAGCCUGAUGCAGCAAUGCCGCGUGUAUGAAGAAGGCGUUCGGGUUGUAAAGUACUUUCGGCGGGGAGGCGUUACCCGCAGAAGAAGCACCGGCUAACUCCGUGCCAGCAGCCGCGGUAAUAC
rnacentral:rRNA from 1 species